GACGAACGCUGGCGGCGUGCUUAACACAUGCAAGUCGAACGGAAAGGCCCUGCUUUUGUGGGUUGCUCGAGUGGCGAACGGGUGUGUAACACGUGUGUAUCCUGCCCUUUACUUUGUGAUAACUUCAGGAAACUGGGGCUCAUACCCGAUAGGAUCUCCUGCUGCAUGGUGUUGGUUGGUAAGUUUCGGCGGUUGGGUAUGGACUCGCUGCUUCUCAGCUUGUUGGUGGGGUAGUUGCUUACCAAGGCUUUGACGGGUAGCCGGCCUGAGAGGGUGACCGGGGACAUGGGGACUGAGAUACGGACCAGAAUCGUACGGGAGGCAGCAGGGGGGAAUAUUGCAGAAUGGGGGGAAGCCUGAGGCAGCAACGCCGCGAGCGGGAUGACGGGCUUCGGGUGGUAAACCGCUUUCGAAGGAGACGAAGAGUGAGUGACGGUAAUGGGUAAAGAAGCACCGGCUAACUACGUG
rnacentral:rRNA from 1 species